UGAAUUUCGGGAUCAGUACUUUGGUCAUGCCUCGGUAUGUACUCUGACAUCAGCUCAUCGCUUCCUGAUGGACUGUAAUGCCAUUAAUUUGGUGUUGCAGGGAAUCUGGACUGUUACUUUGAAAAAAUUAGAGUGUUUAAAGCAGGCUAACGCUUGAAUACAUUAGCAUGGAAUAAUGAAAUAGGACGUUCGAUCCUAUUUUGUUGGUUUCUAGGAUUGACGUAAUGAUUAAUAGGGAUAGUUGGGGGCAUUAGUAUUCAAUUGUCAGAGGUGAAAUUCUUGGAUUUAUUGAAGACUAACUACUGCGAAAGCAUUUGCCAAGGAUGUUUUCAUUAAUCAAGAACGAAAGUUAGGGGAUCGAAGACGAUCAGAUACC
rnacentral:rRNA from 1 species